rnacentral:sRNA from 1 species
ACCAUCCUAAUAGGAUUUCCUGUUGGUUUUGAUUCUUUUAAAUAAGCGGCCUAUUUAUUUUAUGUAUUACAAUUCUGUUGACUUAAAUGUAUGUGAUGUUUAUUUUUAUUCCUUUCAAAUAAACCAGAAUUUUUUCUUUCAUUUGUAACUUAAUUAUGGCCUUAACUGAAUCAACCUGAAGAUAAUGGAGUGAAGAAAGUGAAGUGUUAUAACCCACAGCAUCAUAUGUGAUACCAUAAUGACUGUCUACACAUAGCCGAUCAUCGUGAGUGCUGUCACCUACUGUUUUGGGGGUAGUAAUGUGUCGCUUUAACUUUCAGAGUAAUGGAGAAAGAUCCUUUCCAUGCAAGUUGUUUACCUGUACAUAUAGGGACGCUUGUAGAGCUGAAUAAAGCCAAUGAACUUUUCUAUCUUUCUCAUAAACUGGUGGAUUUAUAUCCUAGUAAUCCUGUGUCUUGGUUUGCAGUGGGAUGUUACUAUCUCAUGGUCGGUCAUAAAAAUGAACAUGCCAGAAGAUAUCUCAGCAAAGCCACAACACUUGAGAAAACCUAUGGACCUGCAUGGAUAGCCUAUGGACAUUCAUUUGCGGUGGAGAGUGAGCACGACCAAGCCAUGGCUGCUUACUUCACAGCAGCACAGCUGAUGAAAGGGUGUCAUUUGCCUAUGCUGUAUAUUGGAUUAGAAUAUGGUUUGACCAAUAACUCAAAACUAGCUGAAAGGUUCUUCAGCCAAGCUCUGAGCAUCGCACCGGAAGACCCUUUUGUUAUGCAUGAGGUCGGCGUGGUUGCAUUUCAGAAUGGAGAAUGGAAAACAGCCGAAAAAUGGUUUCUUGAUGCUUUGGAAAAAAUUAAAGCAAUUGGGAACGAGGUAACAGUUGACAAAUGGGAACCUUUGUUGAACAACUUGGGGCAUGUCUGCAGAAAACUUAAAAAGUAUGCUGAGGCCUUGGAUUACCACCGUCAGGCACUGGUGUUGAUUCCUCAGAAUGCAUCCACCUACUCUGCUAUUGGAUAUAUCCACAGUCUGAUGG